AACGAACGCUGGCGGCAUGCCUAACACAUGCAAGUCGAACGAGACCUUCGGGUCUAGUGGCGCACGGGUGCAUAACGCGUGGGAACCUGCCCUUAGGUUCGGAAUAACUCCCCGAAAGGGGUGCUAAUACCGGAUAAUGUCUUCGGACCAAAGAUUUAUCGCCUUUGGAUGGGCCCGCGUUGGAUUAGCUAGUUGGUAGGGUAAAAGCCUACCAAGGCGACGAUCCAUAGCUGGUCUGGGAGGAUGAUCAGCCACACUGGGACUGAGACACGGCCCAGACUCCUACGGGAGGCAGCAGUGGGGAAUAUUGGACAAUGGGCGAAAGCCUGAUCCAGCAAUGCCGCGUGAGUGAUGAAGGCCUUAGGGUUGUAAAGCUCUUUUACCCGGGAUGAUAAUGACAGUACCGGGAGAAUAAGCUCCGGCUAACUCCGUG
rnacentral:rRNA from 1 species